rnacentral:rRNA from 1 species
AUUGAACGCUGGCGGCAGGCCUAACACAUGCAAGUCGAACGCGUAGCGGACGGGUGAGUAAUGUCUGGGUAACUGCCUGAUGGCGGGGGAUAUCUUCUGGAAACGGUAGCUUAUCCCGCAUACCAUCAGCUGUCCCCAUAUGGGAUUACCUUGUUGGUUGGGUAAAGGCUAACAAAGGCGACGAUCCCUAGCUGGUUUGAGAGGAUGACCAGCCACACUGGAACUGAGACACGGCCCAGACUCCUACGGGAGGCAGCAGUGGGGAAUAUUGCACAAUGGGCGCAAGCCUGAUGCAGCCAUGCCGCGUGUAUGAAGAAGGCCUUAGGGUUGUAAAGUACUUUCAGCAGGGAGGCGUUACCGGCAGAAGAAGCACCGGCUAACUCCGUGCCAGCAGCCGCGGUAAUUC